rnacentral:rRNA from 1 species
AUUGAACGCUGGCGGCAGGCCUUACACAUGCAAGUCGAACGAGUGGCGGACGGGUGAGUAAUGUCUGGGAAACUGCCUGGUGGAGGGGGAUACCUACUGGAAACGGUAGCUAAUACCGCAUACCAUCAGAUGUGCCCAGAUGUGAUUAGCUAGUUGGUGGGGUAACGGCGCACCAAGGCGACGAUCCCGAGCGGGUCUGAGAGGAUUACCAGCAACACUGGAACUGAGACACGGCCCAGACUCCUACGGGAGGCAGCAGUGGGGAAUAUUGCACAAUGGGGGCAAGCCUGAUGCAGCCAUGCCGCGUGUAUGAAGAAGGCCUUCGGGUUGUAAAGUACUUUCGUCGGGGAGGCGUUACCCGCAGAAGAAGCACCGGCUAACUCCGUGCCAGCCGCCGCGGUAAUAC